ACCCUAACCCUAACCCUAACCCUAACCCUAACCCUAACCCUAACCCUAACACUAACCCUAACCCUAACCCUAACCCUAACCCUAACCCUAACCCUAACCCUGUAUCGUAUAAUGAGGUCAACGGCCGGCUUGGCGGAAAGGCCUUGUCGGUUCGACCUCGGAUGGCAAUUUCAAAUAUGCGCGGGGAUGAAUCCUUUGCAGACGACUUAAAUGUGGAACUGGGUACUGUAAGCAGUGAAGUAGCCUUGUUGUUACGACCUGCUGAGGUUUAGCCUUUGUUCUCAAGAUUUGU
rnacentral:ncRNA from 1 species